AGAGAUCAUGGAAUUGAGGCAGGAAAUGGAAGAAAGCUGAUCAAGAGUGGAUUUUUAAGCUAGUUACUGGGGGUUCAGUCUUUCCAGGGAGCUCUGGGAGACAGUGUAAAAUAUGCCUCAUUCUCCCCACCAAGGAGCCAUGUAGAUGGGGCAGUUAGCCAUCAGAUCCCUCUUCAGCUGUGUCUGAAGGCUGCCUUGAGAGGCAUUAACUCCCUGCCCUGAACACCUGGCCAAAUGUGCGCCGGUGGGCAGAUAAUACAGCCCCAGGUGGAGCCACAGUUGUUCAUAAUAAGCAACCUUCCCUGUAGAGGUGAAGACCAAGGAGAUGGGGCAGAGCCCAGAAGCAUCUACUAGAAGAAUGUUGGGUUUACAGUGAAGGCACACGGAGGGGAUUCCUAGCUUGGGUGAUCAACAAAGACUUCAUAGAGAAGAGCUUUCUAGGCUGGAACAAUGGCACAGUGUUUGGGAGAAUGCAAUGAGGACACCAAGGCAUCAAGAGCCUAAGUCAUGUGCCUAAGGUCAAAUAGCUAGUUAGGGGCAGAGCUGAUAUUUGAACCUGGGCAGUCUGCCCCCACGGUUGGGGCUCACGUCAUUACAUCACCGUCAUUUGACUUGACAUCUCCAUGACAAUCUGCGGCUCGGCUGUAAGAUUUUAGUGAUAAUGACGCAUUGCCAAGAAGCCCUUGCAGAAAGUCAGAGAAAUCUGGGCUUAAUCUACAAAGAUGAGACUCAAGAAAAAGUCAGAAGAGAAGGCAUGGACUGCUGGGGGCAUGGACUUCUGCAAAGGCACAGAUGGAAACAAGACAGAGGGGCUGAGAGUUUUUCAUUCUCUGAAAGCUUAAUUAGGUCAUUGGUGAGGACAGAGUAUUAAAAAAAAUCCCAUCAGCUAAAGACCUGUGGGAUUUAAUUCCCUCAUUCCUGCUCCUUAGUCUUAGAAUAAAUGAAGCCUUUUUCUAGUUACAAAAAUGAUGUUGAAAAAUGAUUGAUUGUCUUAAUGAGGAAAGAGAACAGCUGCCUGAACAGCAGAUGCAACUUUUAUAAUCAUUUCCUCUUCAUUGGGUUUCUCCCUAACGACCCCGGCACUGAUGAUAGUAUUUAAGAAGGAGGGUGUGUGAUGGGCAGAGGCCUGGAAUGAUCAGGAAGCUUGGGCAAAGAGGGAAAUGGUUGGUCCAAGUCCCUCAUGAUCGGCUGCAUUUCUAACAAGCCCAAAGUCGUGGCUUUUCUUCAGGCUGGUUGAAGACGACAGAAUCAGAGUUUGGGGCAACCCAAUAUCCCAGAAUUGAAGGCCAGAAAAAGGGGCAGAAAAACCACCCACGGCUCCCACGUGUACUUAAAUCUGCUCUAGCUUCACGAAGGCCCUACCGUGAACCAUCAUGCAGAGAGGAACAUCCCCACCAGAGGACAUUUAGCAGCGAGUCUGCCAAGAAACUGAAAUGUGACAGAGCACGGAGGCUAGGAGUACGGGCUCUGGCGGCAAAGUCUGCAUUCAAAUCCUGACUCUACUACUUAGCAGCUGUGUGACCACAGACGAGUCACUUAACCUCUCUGUGCCUCACUUUCUAGCUUUGUGGCCUCAAGUAUUUCAAUGAAGAAUAUUAGAAGAGCAUCUACAAAUCCCAGACUGGUGUGUGCAAGUUCUGAGGAAUGGUGGGGCAACCCAAUGUGUUUGGGCGACCUUCAGAGACAUCUGGGACAGAGCCACAACAGGGCAAUGACUGACACCCAACUCACAGCCUGACUUCUCCAGGAUCAUGCUUAUUGUCCAGCAGAUGGUCGAUAAAUAUUUUACAAUGAAGGAGGAAAGCAAGAAACGAAGCUCUAUUUUCUCAGGAUAUCAAGGUGUUUCCUGAAAUGCCUUUGUUGAUAUUGGCAGUUGCAGGUUGGAGACAUAAUGUGUUGUUGGAGACAACAUCUUAAGGCAAAUCACUGAAAGACAGACUCCUGGCUUUGACAGAAAGCUUGAUAGAGAAUACCAACACGGCAAGGAGUCAUAGGGGUCUUUAUUGAACAGUAUCAAGUUAAAUGGGACCAACUACCAUACUGAAGACUUGGCUUUACUGAAGACAGACAGGACUACUCCAGGGAGGAGCUUACCCGGGCUCCAGAUUGGCCCCACUGGAAAAUCUGCUUUGCUCAGGAAAGAUUCUUGGCAAUUACCUGUAGCAAACUCAACUAGCAACUUGCCCAUUCUUUGGUUUGAACCAACCCUCUGGAUUUCAGCUCAAUUGAUCAAUUUGCCCUCUCUCCAAAACUUCAAUUCACUCCUAUUUACCUCUUUAUUGUCUCUCCUCUCCACUGGUCUAAAAAUUACAUGAAGAGAGAGAUUAUGUCACUUAAUUCACCACUGUAUACCUGUGCAUGACAUGGUGCCUAACACAUAGUGGAUGUGUGAUAAAUAAGGGUUGAAUGAAUGAAUGAAUCUGAAGGACCCAAAGCUCCAAUUUCCUUCCUAUGCUGUGGUAGGUCACGGUGUUCAGCCUCCCAACAUCCAGACCACUUCAGCUGAUGAGUCUAAAGUUCUAGGUGUUCUUAACCUCGGAUCCAUGGACCAAUUAAGGGUCUGUGACUGUGCAUAGAAAAAAUGCCUCUUCAUUUUCACUAACUUUUAACUGAAAUGUAGCUUUUCCUUCAAUCAUAAAUGUAGAGAAGAAACCACAGUAGUCUAUGAGCAGGACCUGUGAUUUUUGUGACCAGUAGAAUCCUUUAUGCUCAUCAACAACGUGGAAUUAUUGUAGUAAUUGUACCUGCCAUCAGAUUUUGUUGUUUAAGGUGUAAAUAAGAAGGCAGACACAGUACUAUGUCAUAAAUUUAUGGAAUGACCAAAUUAAUCUUAAUUAACCUGAAUGAAUUAUUCUUAAAUAACCUGAAUAUUGUUAUUCCAAGAAUGUCUUUUCCAAAUAACUGGAUUCCUUUGUAAUCCCAUAUAUUUUACUUUAUACGUUUAAAAACAUUCUUAGAAGGGGUCCCUAGGCUUCACCACAC
ensembl:lncRNA